rnacentral:rRNA from 1 species
AUUGAACGCUGGCGGAAUGCUUUACACAUGCAAGUCGAACGGCAGCACGGGGGCAGCCCUGGUGGCGAGUGGCGAACGGGUGAGUAAUACAUCGGAACGUGCCCGGUCGUGGGGGAUAACGUAGCGAAAGUUACGCUAAUACCGCAUACGAUCUGAGGAUGAAAGCGGGGGACCUUCGGGCCUCGCGCGAUCGGAGCGGCCGAUGUCAGAUUAGGUAGUUGGUGGGGUAAAGGCCUACCAAGCCGACGAUCUGUAGCUGGUCUGAGAGGACGACCAGCCACCCUGGGACUGAGACACGGCCCAGACUCCUACGGGAGGCAGCAGUGGGGAAUUUUGGACAAAGGGCGCAAGCCUGAUCCAGCCAUUCCGCGUGCAGGACGAAGGCCUUCGGGUUGUAAACUGCUUUUGUACGGAACGAAAAGGCUCUGGCUAAUACCUGGGGCUCAUGACGGUACCGUAAGAAUAAGCACCGGCUAACUACGUG